rfam:Picea glauca, whole genome shotgun sequence.
AGGCAACUAGCUAGCAAAUUAUGAUUACAUUCAUGGUGUUAAUGUGUCCGGAUACUGACCUCAUGUUUUUCUGAUUUGCUGAGAAGAAGUGGUCAUUCCUUCCUUUGUUGAAGUGAGUCAAGUAACCCAGAAGCACAUU